rnacentral:rRNA from 1 species
CCCUUAGAUGGUCUGGGCCGCACGCGUGCUACACUGAACGGUUCAAUGGGUAAGGUAGUGCGAAAGCAUGACCUAAUCUCGAAAUCCGUUCGUGCUGGGGAUAGAAGCUUGCAAUUAUCCUUCUUGAACGAGGAAUACCUUGUAAGCGUGAGUCAUCAUCUCACGCUGAAUACGUCCCUGCCCUUUGUACACACCGCCCGUCGCUCCUACCGAUUGAGUGUUCCGGUGAGGCUUUGGGAGAAUGGCCUCAACAUGAGUUUAUCGUGUUUUGCCGUUUGAACUUAGUCAAACCUUAUCACUUAGAGGAAGGAGAAGUCGUAACA